AUCUUUUUUGUUAAUAAGAUCUUUUAAAAAAAAUUAUGCUGUUAUCCCUAAGGUAAUUAAUUUUUUAUUUAAAAUUGUUUAGAUAAAUUUUUCAUUAAUUUUUGUUUUAAAUAUAAAAAAUUUUUUUUAUUUUUAAAUUACCCCAAUUAAAUUUAUUUAUUUAAUUUUAAUAAUAAAUUAAAAUUAAAAUUAAAAAUAUAAAUUAAAUUCUAUAGGGUCUUGUCGUCUUUUAAAUUUAUUUAAGUUUUUUUACUCAAAUAAAAAAUUUAAUUAUUAUUAAAUUGAGAUAGUUUAUACUUUAUUAAAUCAUUCAUACAAGUUUUUAAUUAAAAAACAAAUUAUUAUGCUACCUUUGUACAGUUAUAAAUUCUGCAGCCAUUUAAAAUUUUCAUU
rnacentral:rRNA from 1 species